UGGCGCCUCCUCCUCUCCUCCUCUCUCCCUCACGCAAGCACCAGAGAAGCAGUCCUCAUCCUCUUCCUUUCCACCUCCAUGGGCGCCCCCUUCUCUUCCCUACCUUUCUCUCCUUCUCCAUCAAAAUGGAGUGCCUCGAUCGGUGAUUAGAACCGAAUUCAUCCACUUGUUUCCCUUCCCAUGGACCCAGCAAGGAUUUGGGAGAGAUCAUUGUUGUUGUUUCUCUGCUGUAACAGGGGUGAUGAUCAUCGCUACUGCGAUAGAAGCCAGUCCGAUCAGCAACAAUGCGAGCCUAUUGUCCUGCGAUAUCAUGUCGUCAUCGCCACCGUUCUAGUACAGCAUGUGAUCAUCUCUAAGGUCGAAUUAUCGAUGUCGUCUCUAUGAACGUGCUGGUGGUGGCGUCGAUCCUAGCAGCCAUGUUGAUGCUACCAUUGAUCCUUGCCCAACAGUAAGGUGCUGCCAACCACAUAACCAGUUGUUGGAAUUCCAUGAUGUUUGUCUAUGAUGCUUGUACCGAUUGUUUGCUGACGUUAGAAGGAGCUUUGAAAGGAUGAUCCAAGAGAGAAGUUUGAAGGUUUGGAUAGCAAGCUUUUGGAAGGCAAGUGUAACAUGAGUUCCCUUGUUACCUAAUAACUAUUUAAUCACCUCUUCAUGUGCAUGUGUCUAAUAUGAUAAAGCCCUAAGGACUUUACCUAGAACUAUUGUAUCUUGUAUCCUUGUUUACCCUAGGGUUAUGCAUACGGGUAGUUUGCUUAG